GAUGAACGCUGGCGGCGUGCCUAAUACAUGCAAGUCGAGCGAACGGACGAGAAGCUUGCUUCUCUGAUGUUAGCGGCGGACGGGUGAGUAACACGUGGAUAACCUACCUAUAAGACUGGGAUAAACUCGGGAAACCGGAGCUAAUACCGGAUAAUAUUUUGAACCGCAUGGUUCAAAAGUGAAAGACGGUCUUGCUGUCACUUAUAGAUGGAUCCUCGCUGCAUUAGCUAGUUGGUAAGGUAACGGCUUACCAAGGUAACGAUGCAUAGCCGACCUGAGAGUCGGUUCGGCAACCCCGGAACGGCAAAACGGACCAGUCUCAUCGGGGAGGCGUCAGAAGCGAACAUUCCACAAUGGACGAAAGCCUGAUGAAGCAACCGCGAGUGGGUGACGAAGGUCGUUGGACCGUAAAACUAUAUUUUUAGGGAAGAACACAUGGCUACGAAACAGCGGACUGCAUGACCGUACCUAAACAAAAGGCGACGGCUAACUCCGGG
rnacentral:rRNA from 1 species